UCUCGCGUCACAGCAGCCAAUGAUACGUCUACUUAUAAGAUGUCUAUGCUUCCUUCAAUAAUGUCGGUGUCGGCAGCCCAAGAGUGUGGUAAUAAUCUGCCUGCUGUACACAGGAAGGAAACAUGGUUUGCUGCCGGCGGAAGCUUCCUGAAAAGACGGCAGCGUUACUCUACAUGGCUACAAGCACUUCCAUUUACCAUCCAGCGUGACUCUUCAGUUCAAAAGAGUGACCAUGGGGUUCUUGCUCACCUCCCUGACGAGACUAAGAGGGAUGCAACAACGUACAGACAUCCUGGAUGAAAACUAAGGCUUGCCAUCCAACCUGAUGGAGCUUGAGAGGAAUGGGUGAAACUGACUGCAGCUGAAAUGGACCAAAAGAACUCGUCUGACCCUCAUGAAGUCAUCAAUUAAUGAGGACAACUUUCUGAUUUGAUACUCUUUUUUUUUUUCUUUUUUUUUACUUUGUUUUAAAUAAUAUUGUAUUUUAUUUACUUACUUUUUUAGUAAAAACAACUCUGACCUCUGUUCAUUUACAUGGUAACAGUGCAGAAAUAUAGCAUACCACUCUUCCAUACAACUAACCUGAACUGUGAAAUGCGGUGGAAACCUCUCACUACUACAGGAACCUAUAGUUCCAGGAACUGAAAUUUCCUGCACUUUUGGUGGAAAGAGGCCUAUUGUCGACAGUCUCCUCUUCCCUUUUCUUCCACUGCAAGCCAAGCAGAUCAACUGACAGGGUAAAGAGGAUUUAAUUUUUUCUUCCUAAUCAUUGUCGUGACCUUGCAGUUAAAGUUUUGUGAUUUCAAACUGAGUGCACCACAAUGCUAGUUGUAAUGUGUGUGCGUCUAGGCAGGGCGGCUGAAUGCGAGGACAGUUCAAACAGUUAGGUUUGUUUGAUCAGGGAUGUGAACACAAUGAGAACAAAGUGGAACAUUUCUAUCAGCAGAAAGUGCUGCCACGCAAACCCAAAAUAAAAUUUUGAAAAUCAAGACUACAUUUCCUGCAAUUGGGUGCAUUUCUACACUACAUUUUCCCGUUUGGUGCAUUCUCAUCUACCAACCUCUUUUGGCUCUUUUUGACACUUACAUGUCACAGUUUUUACUUUUUAG